rnacentral:rRNA from 1 species
UAAGGAAUAUUGGUCAAUGGAGGCAACUCUGAACCAGCCAUGCCGCGUGGAGGAUGAAGGCCCUCUGGGUUGUAAACUUCUUUUAUAAGGGAAGAAAUGCCUGUAAUCUUACAGGUUUGACGGUACCUUAGGAAUAAGCACCGGCUAACUCCGUGCCAGCAGCCGCGGUAAUACGGAGGGUGCAAGCGUUAUCCGGAUUCACUGGGUUUAAAGGGUGCGUAGGCGGGUGUGUAAGUCAGUGGUGAAAUCUCCAAGCUUAACUUGGAAACUGCCGUUGAUACUAUACAUCUUGAAUACCCGGGAGGUGAGCGGAAUAUGUCAUGUAGCGGUGAAAUGCUUAGAUAUGACAUAGAACACCAAUUGCGAAGGCAGCUCGCUACAGGGUUAUUGACGCUGAGGC